GAGUUUGAUCGUGGCUCAGAUUGAACGCUGGCGGCAUGCCUUACACAUGCAAGUCGAACGGCAGCACGGGUGCUUGCACCUGGUGGCGAGUGGCGAACGGGUGAGUAAUACAUCGGAACAUGUCCUGUAGUGGGGGAUAGCCCGGCGAAUGCCGGAUUAAUACCGCAUACGAUCUACGGAUGAAAGAGGGGGACCUUCGGGCCUCGCGCUAUAGGGUUGGCCGAUGGCUGAUUAGCUAGUUGGUGGGGUAAAGGCCUACCAAGGCGACGAUCAGUAGCUGGUCUGAGAGGACGACCAGCCACACUGGGACUGAGACACGGCCCAGACUCCUACGGGAGGCAGCA
rnacentral:rRNA from 1 species